rnacentral:lncRNA from 1 species
GCAAAAGUAGAUCAAUUCUGCUCUGACACCCCAGUUUGAGUCAUGUGAAGCUUCAGUCAGACUCCUAGGAUAAUACACAGCUGAAUUGCAGAGGAGCAAGAAGCUUGUGCCUCUAUAGCCUGUUAAUACUGGGCAGUGGAGUCAGCUACACCAGGUUAAACAGGAAGUGGCAAGGAAGAAACCAUGAGAAGCAUAGGCAAGGG